UUCCAGUUCUAUUUGGGAAACUGAAUCUGGUCUAAGAAGAGAUUUUUCCAGCAAGAGGCUGUCUCUGAAAAAUCACCUAUAAGGUGGCACUGACGAUAUUGGAAGCCAACAGAGAAGAAAUGGGGUUACCCUCACUGCUGCUUUGGAGACAAAGGCUAUUCCUCCCAUUCUGACAGUGCCCUCACGUAUCACAGAAUCCCAAUCAGAAAAUGGUUCCGACGGGUGGAAUAUCACCCAUCCAGAGAUAAGGUAAGAUAAGACCUGAGAGGUAAGCAAUACAAUACAUACUCACUGAAAAAAUAAGUCAAAUGAAAAAGAAG